ACUGUGACCCUGGAGGGUUGAGAGAACUACCAGCACCCUGGACAGAGCAGUGCUACUAGCAGGGACUAGGAGAGUGAGAGACAGCUCCUGGCCUGCUGGAGCUUGCAUGUUAAAGCCAUGAGGCAAGGGCAAAGAGGAUGCUGGGGCCAUGAGGAAGUGGCCAGACAAUUUGCUGCAGUAGUCACAAAGGGAAGUGGCUGAACAGUGGGAUUGCAGGUACCCUAGAAUUGGGCAGCACAGUGCAUGACAUGGCUGGAGGGUUGUGUUGCUGAAGAGGAUGCUGCAGUCCUUGGAGAGAUGUGGGUCCUAGAGCAGGAGUGGUGAAAGCAAGGCACAACCUGAAGAGGGUGCAUUAACAUGCAGAACUAAUUCCCAUGACAGCCAGCAGGAGGCAUCAGAGUGAUGCUGUCUAUUCAUGAAUGGUCUCAAACACGCUGGGAAAAUCUUGAGGAUGUAUGGUACGAAGUGUGAUUCAGAGAUCUGACAGCACAGCAAGACCACUGAGGCAUUAUGACAAUCAGCAAUAACCAAAGAAUGUCUCCAUAUGUUGUGAAUGCACUUUGGGAAGGAGCACUCUUCUCUUGUGUAAAGAAUGCUAGAUUGCAGACAGUGGGCCAAAUUCUGCUCUCACUUAUACCAGACUAAAUCUAUUACUUUCAAUUAAGUUAUCUUGGAUUCACUCCAGUGUAAGGGAGAAAAGACUGAUUGCCUUCAGACAUGUUCUCUAGUUGUAGUGGCAUAAUGCACAGUACUGCACAUUAUGUUGAAUGUUGACCUACGGGAACCAGAAGCUAAUAGUAAAG